rnacentral:lncRNA from 1 species
GGGCAACAAUGGCUGCCUGCCUUUUGUCUGCACCUCUGUGAUCUGAAGCAACAAUCAGUGCUCAGAGCACAGAUCCCUGAUAUUUGGAGAAUAGGGCCCUCUUUACCUCCUCUGGCUCCUGCAAGCUGUUUUCAGGGUUUCAGAAACAGGUGCACAUCAGGUUUGCCAGGUAGUGAGGGGUGGGGGAUGAGUAGCUGCUACGCCGCGAAAAGCUGAAAUCGAUGGAAAUUAACCAUACUUCGCUGUCCAAGCCUUCCCGUGGAAGUUGCAAGCCUUCAAUACACUCCAGAGUUCCAAAAUAGUUAGAGAUUCCACCGACGCAAUUGUUGUCUAGGUCGGGAGACAGAUUCUCGGAGCUUCCAACUCUGCCGUCUUCCCAGUAUCCUCCAAUAAUUCCUUUAGUUUUUUCAAGGAGCUGAGAUCUGCCGCUGCUGAGGACUGGGCACUGAAGUUCAGCCACAGUCCAACACGUGAGGUGACUCCUAGGUCAGAAGGAAGCAGAAGGGAUGAGGCUGCAGGUCCCAAGGAUCUCCCCGUGAGGUGACAAUCUGGGUGAUAUAACAAGCAAUGCCUUUGAAGUAUUGGAUGAAGUUACUGGGAAACGGAGAGAAGCGGUAACUUGCCCAGUGCCAAGCAGCUACAAGUUCUGGGACAGAGCUUCAAAUACAAGAGAAUUUUCUGUCUUGGUCACUAUUCUUUCCACAUUGCCUCUUAAACAGCCUGCAUAAACACUUCUUUAAACAAUUUUAGUGUGACACAGAUGCUUACAGUGCAAAAUUAAAAUAAACUUAACAGAUAAAUUAGAAUUGGACAUUUGUCUGAUAGCAACAUGAUAGCUAUAAGAUCAAUAACUUUCCGUCACAGAAAUAAUAUAGAAUUUAAACUUUACUUGCAUAUAAUCUAGAUAGAAAAAUUUGCAUAUAAGAAAAAGAGUGUGAGACACAUCAGGAAAUGUAUCAAGAUACUGUUGAACUGGCUCAUUUAAAACCUGAAUACCCAGGGGACAUCACCAAUAUUGUCCUCAGAUAAUGAUGUAGAAAUGCAUUUCCUUGAAUAUAUGCUUAUCUUUAUUUUCAUCAGUAGGAUCCAUGAGAAAUAAUGAAAAGGAAUCUUUUGUUAAAAGAUAAGUACAGGUGUCUUCGAAGUAGUUCAACAUGCCAUGGGCAAACCUUUACUGAGUACUUAAAUAAAGCAGAGAUUAUGCCAUGGAAAGCAUGAGAACUGAAAAGAAUAUGGCUGUCUUAGUUUUCUACUGCUGCGUAACAUAUUACCAUAUUUAGCAGCUUAGAACUGCACCCAUUUAUUAGCUCACAAUUCUACAGAUGAGAAGUCCAGAAGUCCUGGACCCUCUGCUUUAGGGUCUCACAUAGCCACACUCAGGGGUUGGGCUAGCCUGAGUUCUUACCUGGGAAUCUGGAGAAGAGUCAGUCAAUUCAGUUGCCGGCAGAAUUCAGUCAUGUGCAGCUGUAGGAUUGAGGUCCCUGUUUCUUUGCUGGCUAUUGACCAGGAGCUGUUGUCAGCUUCUGGAGGCCACCUAUAUUCCCAGGCUUGUGGGCCUUCCAUUUUCAAAGCCAGCAAUGCCACGUCAAAUCCUUCCUAUGCUUUGAAUCUUCCUGACUUCCCAUCAUGCCGCUGUCAUCACCUUUUAAAGGAUGUGUGUGCUUAAGUGAGGCACAUGCCAGUUAAUCAUGGUAUUUUAAGGCAACCUGAUUUGGGACUUUAAUUACAACAACAGAACCUCUGCAGUGCGUAGAUGACUGUUUGAGUUACCAGAAGAUAGGAAUAUUAGGGAGUCAUCUUUGGAAUUCUGACCCACAUCAUCAAUGGCUACACCAUCAAGAGGCACAUUUUGUUCAUCUUAUGAUUCCUUGUCAGUGGACACACUUUUCCUAAUGUCAAGGUGACUAUUGACGUGGAUAAUGAACUUGGAGAUUAAGCCAGAAUAUAGUAAUAACCACCAUGAAUUAAGUACAUGGAAUAUGCUUGGUGUCUCAAACACACUUUCUCCUUUGAUCCUCACACAACACUUCAAGUAUAAAGCUGAGCUUCAUAGACUUUCUGCAACUUGCUAACAUCAGACAGCCAGUAAAUGAGGGAGCCAAACUUCAAGAAAAGAACUGUAUGAACACAGUGUCUGUGCUUUUUGCAGCACAGCAUGAAGGAAAAAGGAUCUGAGAGUCUUGUCCUUGAGAAGAAAGUUACACUUCAAGCAGAAAGAUUAAAUAAAAUUUGUUAUGCAACAUCAAUAUGAUUAAUGAUUCAUUACAGAUAGUAUAAAAUGUUUUAUAUGUAUGUACCUGUUAUUCCAUGUUCAUUUUUAUCACACUAAUUAAGAAAGUUUUAUAUAUAAUGUGUAUAUGUGUAUGUUUUAUAUAUAAAGUAUAUAAUGGA